rnacentral:lncRNA from 1 species
AUGCUGUAAAGAUUCUUUUCCUAACUUUGAUCAAUCUAUAUCUCACAAGUCAAAUGGAAUUUUAACUUUACAAGAUGCUUAAAAAGUGUAGCUUAUCUUCCUCUUCUUCUUCUCUUUUUCUUUUUCUUUUUCUUUCCUUCUUUUUUUCUUUUUUUUUUUUCUUUUUCUUUUUUUUUUUGACCACUCUGGUGAAGGUUUGUUGAAGUCCAUACCAUAUAUAAUUGACAAUUGUCGAAUUCAAUGAGUACGCUUCUUUAAUGUUCAUUUUGAGACAGAACCAUCAAAUCACAAUUUUUUUUAAUUCUUUCUUAAUCACAUUCAAUUACCA